GAUGAACGCUGGCGCGGUGCCUAAUACAUGCAAGUCGAGCGAGCUUGGCCUAGAUGAUUUUAGUGCUUGCACUAAAUGAAACUAGAUACAAGCGAGCGGCGGACGGGUGAGUAACACGUGGGUAACCUGCCCAAGAGACUGGGAUAACACCUGGAAACAGAUACUAAUACCGGAUAACAACACUAGACGCAUGUCUAGAGUUGGAAAGAUGGUUCUGCUAUCACUCUUGGAUGGACCUGCGGUGUAUUAGCUAGUUGGUGGGGUAAGGGCCUACCAAGGCUACGAUGCAUAUCCGAGCUGAGAGGCUGAUCGGACACACUGGGACUGAGACACGGCCCAG
rnacentral:rRNA from 1 species